UGUUACAUACACACAGUGGAAUUCUCUGCUUCUAUCAGAAAGAAUGGCAUUGCCCCAUUUGUAAGGAAACGUAAGGACUUGGAAAAAAUCAUACUAAGUGAAGUGAGCCAGACCCAAAGAAACAUAGACUCUAUGGUUUCCCUCAUUGGUAAUAAUUAGUAUAUGUCUAGGAUAUUC